rnacentral:lncRNA from 1 species
GGCUGCACCCACAGCAUACGGAGAUUCCCAGGCUAGGGGUGGAAUCAGAGCUAAAGCUGCCAGCCUAUGCCACAGCCACAGCAACACCAGAUCUGAGCCACAUCCGUGACCGACACCACAGCUCAUGGCAAUGCUGUAUCCUUAACCCACUGAGUGAGGCCAGGGAUCAAACCCACAAACUCAUGGUCCCAAUCAGAUUCAUUUCCACUGUGCCACAACAAGAACUCCGGUAAGGCUAUAUAUUUCUGACUUCAUUUCUACAUCCACAUUCUCUACAGGGGAAAGAUCUCCCCAGCCAAUGAAUCUACCAACAACCACUGCCAAUUACCAAAGUGCUUACUUUGAUAAGCAUAAUGGAACUUUGAAAUCCUCUGAGCAGGGAAUAUCACUCAGAGACAUUUAGUCCUUAUUCUGAUAAGAUAAUGCUAUUUUCCAGUUAUUCAAUGAUUGUGCCUGAUGGAGCCAUUUCACCUUCCACAGAUUUCCAUGCUUUAGUCUACCACUGUGUCAGCACAUAUAGAACAUAUUUCUCAACCUGUGCUGAACAUUUAAAAAUUACAAUUUAGUAUCAUCUCUAGAUCAAUGCCAUGACACAAAAUGUACAGCUAAUCCCCAAGCACCACUGACUGAUAAAUCACUUCUGUUUGAUUUUCCAAGAUCUUUUUAGAGUUAGAGUGAACAGAGGUACCAGAAAUUCCAGAAAUUUUCAUACCAUACAAAAUAAUUAAACUUCCAAAUACAGUUCCCAACUUGUUCCCAGUGCAUGCACAAACCAUACUUCUUAAAAUAAUGUAAAAUGCAGAUUACUCAAAGCUAGAUUCUUUUAGGCUGCAGUUCACAUUUUCUAUGUAACUGAAAAGGGGGAUGUGGUAAUUGCUCUGGCUUAAGAUAAUUUAUCUUGUUAUUUGUGCUGGAUAUGGUUAAAGAUCAGGGUUCUUGUCCUCAGAAAUCAAAGCCAGUAUUUGCUAUGGGUUGAAAAUUAACUCUUUUAAGCCUGUGUAGAACAUCACUGCAUAGCACUGUGUGAGUUCAUGCCCCUCACAGGCAUGACUAGACCUCACUAAGGAUAACCUCGAUUCAUUCAUUCAAAAACCAUUGCUGUUGUCCACACAAAAUAGCCCCUUUCCAUUUGCUCCUUUCCCUGUGGUCCCAAAUGCUUCAAUAAAAGUAAUCUGGCCAGUACUGCACUGCCAGUGCUUCAAGAGGUUGUUGGGGCGACUAGUGUUGCCCUAGACUGUGACCCAGUGUUGUGCAAGUGGAGGAUGCUGGGUGCAACUCUACUCCUCCUGUGAGAGUGAUGUUCACUCUCUUCCCCUCCCUCCAACUCUCUCCCAAGAAUCUUCUUUUGUAUCCUUCUCAUGGUAGCACACUGAACACAUCAAGAGGAGGUUUAUAUUAACACACUUAGAAAGAUUAGACAAGAACUUUGCAAAAAUUGGGGUAAAAACAUAUAACAUAAAAUUUACCAUUAAAAAAGGUCAGUGGCUUGAAGUACAUCCACAAUGUUGUGCAACUGUCACCACCGUUCACCUCCAAAACUUCCAUUAUCUCAAACUGAAACUCUGUAUAUCUUAAACAGUAACUCCCAUUUCUCCCUCCUCCCAGUACCUAGUUAACGAUUAUUCUACUUGCUGUUACUGUACAUUUGGUUAUUCUAGGUCCCCCAUAUAGGUCAAAUCAUAAAAUAUUUGUUUGUGUUUGGCUUAUUUCAUUGAGCAUAAUGUCCUCAAAUCUCAUCUAUGUUGUGAAAUGUGUCAGAAUUUCAUUUUUAAAAUAACAUUAAAUAUUAAAUGAAUAAUAUUCCACUGAAUGUAUUAUGUUUACCCAUUUUGUUUAUCCAUGCAUCCUUGCAUGGGCAUUUGGGUUAUUUCUAUAUUUUGGCUAUUGUGAAUAAUGCUGCUAUGAAAAUGAGUAUACAAAUGUUUGUUCAAGUCCCUGCUUUCAAUUCUACUGAAUAUAUACCCACAAGUGUUAGAUCAUAUGGUAACUUUAUGUUUAAUUCUUGAGAAACUGCCAUACAGUUUUCCACAGUGGCUAUACCAUUCAUAUCCUGGCCAGCAAUGCAAAAGGAUUAGAAUUUCUCCCUAUCCUCAGGAACAUUUGGGAUUCUGUGCAUUUAAAAAAUAUCAGCUGGAGUUCCCGUUGUGGCGCAGCAGAAACAAAUCUGACUAGGAACCAUGAGGUUGCAGGUUCUAUCCCUGGCCUCACUCAGUGGGUUAAGGAUCCGACAUUGCCAUGAGCUGUGGUGUAGGUCACAGAUGUGGCUCGGAUCCGGCAUUGCUGUGGCUCUGGUGUAGGCUGGUGGCUACGGCUCUGAUUAGACACCUAGCCUGGGAAUCUCCAUAUAUGCCGCGGGUGUGGCCCUAAAAGGACAGAAGACAAGAUAAAUAAAUAAACAAAUAAAAUUUUUAAAAUGAAAAAUAUUAGCCACCAGGAGUUUCCUUUGUGGUUCAGCGGGUUAAGAACACUACAAGUAUCCAUGAGGAUGCCAGUUCAAUCCCUGGACUUGCUCAGUGGGUUAAGGAUCUGGUGUUGUCAGUAGCUGUGGUAUAGGUGGCAGACGCUGCUCAGAUCUGGCGUUGCUGAGGCUGUCANAAAAAAAAAAAAAAAAAGCUAUCAUAGUGUGUAUGAGAUAGUGUCUCAUUUUAGCUUGGAUUUGCACCCUAAUGACCAUUGGUUGAUAUAGAGCAUCUUCUCCUGUGUUCUUUGUUUAUUGGCCUCUUUUUUGGAAUGUCAGUUCAAGUCCUUGCCCGUUUUUUUUAAACAGGCUUUUUUGUUUUGGUAUUGUUAAGAGUUCUUCAGAUGUUUUGGAUAUUCAUCUCUUACCAAAUAUAUUUGUAAAUAUAUUCUCCCAUCCUAUGGACUAUACUUCCCUUUGUUGAUAGUGUCCUUUGUUUUGGAUAGGGUCCUUUGAUGCUCCAAAGUUUUAACUUUUGGUGUAGUGUAAUGUAUCUACCUUAUGGUUUGUUGCUUAUGCUUUUAGUGUCAUUGCUAAAAAAAUCAUCACCAACUCCAGUGUCAUAAAAUCUUUCC